CAUCAGGACCGUGAUGUAUAGAUAUAUGGGAACUGUAGUGGAUGCAGUACAGGAAAAUUAACUGAAGGGAUCUCCUGCCAUUGUAAAGGCAGAUGGAGGUAAUAAAAGCCAUCCUUGGGAAAGGAAUGCCUGGAAAACAAUAUGGCAGGCUGGAUGGAUGAAGUAUCCACACAGAAAUUCUUGGAAGAAAAUCAGAGAGAAAUCACGGCAAGUAUGGAUGAAAUCAGUCAACAUUUUUCUCAACUAAAUUUUUUCAUUCCAUGAAAAACCACUGCCCGUGUACAUGAAGGCUGAAUGGACUCAUUCAGUGAGUGUGUCUGAACUAAAGACUUUUUCAGAAAUAGAGUUCUCUUCUGAAUCUGUGCCUUUUGGGCACGGAAUCAGUGGCAUCGUAGAUUCCAUGCCAUAUUCCAUUUUUUCCUAGCUGCUUAAUAUGAGUCUCUGUAUAACUGUAGUAGCAGGAUGAGAGGGAAGAAUAGACAAGGCAUUACAGGGGAGUUGGUGGGCAUUUUAAUUUUUCCAUUUUUAAGUGUAAAAUUCUAAGUAAGGGCAGGAAUGAAGUUUAUAUAUGUAUUUUUGAUGGGAGGACAUAGGCAAAGCAGGAUGUAUUUCUUUAGUAACAAUGUAAUUUAAUGCCACAAUAAAUAAGACCCAACAUCUCG